AUGAACGCUGGCGGCGUGCCUAAUACAUGCAAGUCGAACGAGUUCUCGUUGAUGAUCGGUGCUUGCACCGAGAUUCAACAUGGAACGAGUGGCGGACGGGUGAGUAACACGUGGGUAACCUGCCCUUAAGUGGGGGAUAACAUUUGGAAACAGAUGCUAAUACCGCAUAGAUCCAAGAACCGCAUGGUUCUUGGCUGAAAGAUGGCGUAAGCUAUCGCUUUUGGAUGGACCCGCGGCGUAUUAGCUAGUUGGUGAGGUAAUGGCUCACCAAGGCGAUGAUACGUAGCCGAACUGAGAGGUUGAUCGGCCACAUUGGGACUGAGACACGGCCCAAACUCCUACGGGAGGCAGCAGUAGGGAAUCUUCCACAAUGGACGCAAGUCUGAUGGAGCAACGCCGCGUGAGUGAAGAAGGCUUUCGGGUCGUAAAACUCUGUUGUUGGAGAAGAAUGGUCGGCAGAGUAACUGUUGUCGGCGUGACGGUAUCCAACCAGAAAGCCACGGCUAACUACGUGCCAGCAGCCGCGGUAAUACGUAGGUGGCAAGCGUUAUCCGGAUUUAUUGGGCGUAAAGCGAGCGCAGGCGGUUUUUUAAGUCUGAUGUGAAAGCCCUCGGCUUAACCGAGGAAGCGCAUCGGAAACUGGGAAACUUGAGUGCAGAAGAGGACAGUGGAACUCCAUGUGUAGCGGUGAAAUGCGUAGAUAUAUGGAAGAACACCAGUGGCGAAGGCGGCUGUCUGGUCUGUAACUGACGCUGAGGCUCGAAAGCAUGGGUAGCGAACAGGAUUAGAUACCCUGGUAGUCCAUGCCGUAAACGAUGAAUGCUAGGUGUUGGAGGGUUUCCGCCCUUCAGUGCCGCAGCUAACGCAUUAAGCAUUCCGCCUGGGGAGUACGACCGCAAGGUUGAAACUCAAAGGAAUUGACGGGGGCCCGCACAAGCGGUGGAGCAUGUGGUUUAAUUCGAAGCAACGCGAAGAACCUUACCAGGUCUUGACAUCUUUUGAUCACCUGAGAGAUCAGGUUUCCCCUUCGGGGGCAAAAUGACAGGUGGUGCAUGGUUGUCGUCAGCUCGUGUCGUGAGAUGUUGGGUUAAGUCCCGCAACGAGCGCAACCCUUAUGACUAGUUGCCAGCAUUUAGUUGGGCACUCUAGUAAGACUGCCGGUGACAAACCGGAGGAAGGUGGGGAUGACGUCAAAUCAUCAUGCCCCUUAUGACCUGGGCUACACACGUGCUACAAUGGAUGGUACAACGAGUUGCGAGACCGCGAGGUCAAGCUAAUCUCUUAAAGCCAUUCUCAGUUCGGACUGUAGGCUGCAACUCGCCUACACGAAGUCGGAAUCGCUAGUAAUCGCGGAUCAGCACGCCGCGGUGAAUACGUUGCCCGGGCCUUGUACACACCGCCCGUCACAACCAUGAGAGUUUGUAACACCCGAAGCCGGUGGCGUAACCCUUUUAGGGAGCGAGCCGUCUAAGGUGGGACAAAUGAUUAGGGUGAAG
rnacentral:rRNA from 1 species